rnacentral:rRNA from 1 species
AUUGAACGCUGGCGGCAGGCCUAACACAUGCAAGUCGAGCGAGCGGAGGACGGGUGAGUAAUGUAUGGGGACUGCCCGAUAGAGGGGGAUAACUACUGGAAACGGUUGCUAAUACCGCAUACCGUCGGAUGACCCAUAUGGGAUUAGCUCGUGGGUAAGGUAAUGGCUUACCUAGGGGACGUUCCCUAGCGGGUCUGAGAGGAUGAUCAGACAACCUGGGACUGAGACACGGCCCAGACUCCUACGGAGGCAGCAGUGGGGAAUAUUGCACAAUGGGCGCAAGCCUGAUGCAGCCAUGCCGCGUGGAUGAAGAAGGCCCUAGGGUUGUAAAGUACUUUCAGUCGGGAGGCGUUACCGACAGAAGAAGCACCGGCUAACUCCGUGCCAGCAGCCGCGGUAAUUC